rnacentral:rRNA from 1 species
AGGGAAUCUUCGGCAAUGGACGAAAGUCUGACCGAGCAACGCCGCGUGAGUGAAGAAGGUUUUCGGAUCGUAAAACUCUGUUGGUAGAGAGGAACGUUGGUGAGAGUGGAAAGCUCAUCAAGUGACGGUAACUACCCAGAAAGGGACGGCUAACUACGUGCCAGCAGCCGCGGUAAUACGUAGGUCCCGAGCGUUGUCCGGAUUUAUUGGGCGUAAAGCGAGCGCAGGUGGUUUAUUAAGUCUGGUGUAAAAGGCAGUGGCUCAACCAUUGUAUGCAUUGGAAACUGGUAGACUUGAGUGCAGGAGAGGAG